rnacentral:misc_RNA from 1 species
AAGUCGUAACAAGGUUUCCGUAGGUGAACCUGCGGAAGGAUCAUUAACACGUAUACAACGUUAAACCCCCCGUGAACCUUCAGAGCGUUCUUGCCGCCCGUGACAAUCAGCAAUCCUGGUAAAUCAAGUGGGAAUAUCCGUUAUUGAUUCAGGACCUCUGCUGUCAUGUGUUAGGGAAACCAUAGCGGCAAUUGAGAGCUUUUAUCGUUAGUUUGGCGUCCUGGCCGGGCGAGUGAAAGUGUCGCUAGACGGUUUCUAGGGUAAGGCUUCGCCAUCGCUGGAGGCUCACCACGUAGCCGGCGGACAAACUACAGGGCUAUAUGCCCCCUAAUGACGACCAAGUUAAAUAGGGCCUCUGUCACAUAGCAAGUGCGCCGUGCCAGAGGAAAAGUACAACUGUUAACAAUGGAUAUCUUGGUUCUC